UACAUGGUUCCUUGGCAACAUUCUUCCUCCUCAUUUCUUUUAAGAACUUGGGAGUUUGAAUCUGAACAUUUGCCUACUAUUUACAUUAAAUAAUUGCCUUGCCUUUAGCAAGCUGGACUACACUUAACAUAUGCCCUUUGGUGGAGUGGAGACGACUUGUCUGUCCUGUCCAAGCUUAAACACCAAGGGAAUGACUUUAAAUCUUGCUGGAUGGAACUGCCACUCACCGCUAGAAAUCGGGGAUCAACAGCGAACUCUGGAUGACCCUGUAACCACAUCUCCAGUUCAGCCCGGCGAGGGGCAUCCUCACCCACCAGCAAAGUACCAUCCACCUUAUUGAUGACAGGGAUCCGGGUCUCCAGGUCCACAUCAAGGUGAUUAGGCUCUUCCAUGCACUCCACCUCCAGCUGCAAACCCAGAAUCCACCCCCAUGAGCACAUACUCUUCUUUGGGGCAGGGAGGGAGGGGGAGUAGAGCCAAUGGUAGCCAUAAAAUAAUUCUAGUAUCUUCUAGUCCCUUAAUCCCAACUGCCUUCAUCAAUUAGUAGGAAUAAAAAAAAUCUAAUCAUCACAUUAAAGACUUUUUCUAUCACUCA